AUUGAGACCAUCCUGGCUAACACGGUGAAACCCCGUCUCUACUAAAUAUACAAAAAAUUAGCUGGGCAUGGUGGCGGGCGCCUGUAAUCCCAGCUACUCAGGAGGCUGAGGCAGGAGAAUCGCUUGAACCCAGGAGGCGGAGGUUGCAGUGAGCUGAUGUUGUGCCACUGCAGUGCAGCCUGCCAACAGAGUAAGACCCGUCUCAACAACAACAACAAAAAAGAAGAAAAUUUUUAGGAGACAAUGGUAAGUGAGGAAUUUUACAUUUAAUUUUCUGUGACAUAGCAAAACAUUUUUCCAUACAAAAUCUUCUAUUUAUUUAUUUAUUUUAGAUGGAGCCCCACUCUGUCACCAGGCUGGAGUGCAGUGGUGCAAUCUCAGCUCACUGCAACCUCCGCCUCCCAGGUUCAAGCGAUUCUCCUGCCUCAGCCUCCCGAGAAGCUGGGAUUACAGGCAUGCACCACCACGCCCGGCUAAUUUUUUGUAUUUUUAGUAGAGAUGGGGUUUCUCCAUAUUGGUUAUUCUGGGGUCUCGAACUCCUGACCUCAGGUGAUCCACCUGCCUUGGCCUCCCAAAGUGCUGGGAUUACAGGUAUCAGCCACUGCACCUGGCCUAAUCUUCAUCUUUGUAUGGUAAUUUUAACCUGUACCUUUUAUGACCACGUGGUG
rnacentral:lncRNA from 1 species